CCCUCAGUCUCCUCCAGGCUGAAGAGACCAAGUGACCUCAGCUGCUCCUCAUCCAGCCUCCCCUCAAGGCCCUUCACCAUUAUAGGCUGGAAUCUCUGGAGGUGGUCACUCAAGUAAACUGCUUAGACACCAUGUGUGAGUACCUGGAGUCUACUUUUCUCUAAUGAACUGAGUCUAACAUGAAGAGAGUAUCACAGAUAAAUUUCCUGCUGUCAGUAGCACACCAGAGAAGAUUAAUAAGAGAUGAAAGAAUAACUCCUCCUCACAAGAAACAGCAGAUGUAAUUUGGUGCCUGCAGCAAGGAGAUGAGACUGACAGAUGAUGCACUCAUAUUUACAGAGUGUGGUUCCAUUGUCCUGACACCUAGCAUGAUCUUCAUUCACAACGAGUUUGAUAUCUGAAGAUGGCAGCCCAACUAGAACCACUUUGGCAUAGCUUUCAUCCCACUGCUGGUGUCCGGUGUUGGAGAGCACAAGCCCUCAGAGUAAAAAGGCAAGGUUUGAGCAGUGGUUUGUACUACAAAG